GACGAGAGAGGUCCGAUUCAACAUAUUGUCGAAAGAGAUUAUAUUCAAGAGAAUAAUAUAAAGGAAAAGGGAGAAUUGAAGCCAUGACAAGAAAGCUAAGAGGCUAAAAAAAAAUAAGAGAUGAAGAGGUGGGAAGAAGAGGAAACCUCAGAUAGGAAGAAAAAGAAAAGACGAGAGGAAGACGAAGCAAAGCGUUAAGGUAACGAAGCAAAGUGUUAAGGUAGUGAAGUUGUCGGAUGGAAUUCCGAAAAGCCUUAAUGGUGAAAAGACCGUGGUCAUUAAUGACCUAAUUAAUGCCUUAAAAGAGACAAAAAAAACGCGGGAGAUCGUGGCCGUCAAAAAGUAAAAAGACGGCUGGGAGGAAUAGACGGUAUGAGGCGAUUUGAAAUUAUGGCCUUGGAAUCCGAG
rnacentral:lncRNA from 1 species